rnacentral:lncRNA from 1 species
GGAGACAGGGACAGCACGUUAUAAUCUGGAGAAGGAUCAUGAGGAGCACAGAGCGAUGGCCAAGUGCCUGAAUCUGCACGGGAGAACUUUGUGGAGUGGCACUACCAUGGAGCAGGUAAAACUAAACUCCAGUAUCCACCGAAAACAUUCAAAUAUUUCCAUGACGUCUGUGUUUCUGUUUCAGAUUUCUGCCACAGAAAAUCUGUGCUGCCAACUCUGGAUUCAGACGAGCUGCACCAGGUGGAUGGGGACUGGGUGAUGGUCUGGAUGGCCUAUAGAAGAUUAUGACCGAUGACGACCCAUGGGUGAACCUCACCAGCUCCUACAUGGAGAUGCGUGUUCAGCCUGACAAUCACACUGUGGUCCUUCACGAGCGCAAUACUGUAGGAGGGAAAUGCAUUUCCUACAAGGGGAACCUGUCCUUCCUCAGAUCAGCGAGAAAAUUCACCGCUCCACCUGGAGGAGGGAGUGAGUUUGAUCUACCUGAAAGCUCGUCUAAUGUUUUCUGGAUGUGCUGUUAUACUUCUUUAAUGAUGCUUCUUUGGUUUCCAGUGCAGAACUUAGACGGAGAGUGGGAACGUACAAUGACACCGUCACUGCACAGUUCUUCCCGAGUUCAGAAACACCAUGAAGAUGUACUACAGAAGUGAACUCAUGGUACCUCUCACUGCUCUAUUACAGUGAGUCCUGACUCAGACGCUAUUUAGUCCUGUAUAGUUCCCU